GGAGUCUGCUUCUCUGGAGACUUUUCAGACCCAUCCAGAUGCAUUCCAGUGUGGCCUGCCCUGAGAAAUUAUGUCCCAAACAUGACUUUUAUUGUGUUGUUCAUGGAUCAUCACCAGGAUCUUCCUGGUCUUAUGCUGUUGAUGGCACUCAUGGGCAUGGACAGUGCAGCUCCCAGCCCAGGCUCUGACUUUCUGCUUCUGCACUUUCCAGCUUGUACUUUCCCUGAGAGCCAUGAACAGGAUGAAGUUUGUUGGCUCAAGUGAACUUUGUGGUGUCUGAUUUGCUGCCCUUCUUGUGUGGAAGUGGAGUUUGGUUGCUUGACUUUUUCUUUGCUGUCUUGUUCAAUGCAAAGAGUUUCUAAAAGCUUUGUCCAUACUUCUGGGUCCUGCUGCCUGAUUUAUGCUCUUUUGGAGCCACUCCAGAAGCCAACAUCUGCUGACAGGUAGCAGCUUUUUGGAGUAAGGUCUUGCAGGGUAUAAAUCAGUAGCAAAGCACCCUUGGAAGAUGCUUGGCUGUCUUCUCCAGUGCAGUAAGAGCUUGGUUUGAGGAUGGAUGUUUCAGAUGAUGAGAUACACUAAUGCCCCAGCAAAGUUGGCAUUUUAUGUCCCACUUGUUUUUCCCCAAAGGUUUUGUGAUGGAUCCAUAAAUUCACUCCUGGAACGUGGAGUGAAUACCAAGGGAGUUACCUGUGGUGCCUGCCCGAGAGCACAGGGGUCACUGUCAUGGGAAAGGAGAAGAAAAGAUCUGGCAGGGCACAGUAAGCAGAACAAUGGAUUUGUCUCAGCUUUUGCUUAGGGACAAGGAAAAGCAGAUUAAUGGCUGAAGGUUUGCUGCCUCUUCUGUGCUAAGGUGAGUGCUUGGACUUGAUGAUCUCAAAGGUCUCUUCCAGCCUCACAACUGUGUGGUUCUCUUGACUCUCUAUAAUUUGUCCUGGCUGUGAAGAUGUGAUAAAUACACAUUCCAACUGACUGCAAGGUUCUUUUUUCCCUGGUGGGUUCUUAAUGCUGACAUACAUCUG